rnacentral:rRNA from 1 species
GAUGAACGCUGGCGGCGUGCCUAAUACAUGCAAGUCGAGCGCGACUGAUUACACCGUUCUUCGGAACACCGUAAUCAUCGAGCGGCGGACGGGUGAGUAACACGUGUGCAACCUACCCUUAAGACUGGGAUAACCGCGGGAAACCGUGGCUAAUACCGGAUAAUACUUUUAUACAACGGUAUAGAAGUUGAAAGGUGGAUUUCUAUCACUUAAGGAUGGGCCUGCGGCGCAUUAGCUGGUUGGUAAGGUAACGGCUUACCAAGGCGACGAUGCGUAGCCGACCUGAGAGGGUGAUCGGCCACACUGGAACUGAGACACGGUCCAGACUCCUACGGGAGGCAGCAGUAGGGAAUCUUCCGCAAUGGGCGAAAGCCUGACGGAGCAACGCCGCGUGUGCGAAGAAGGUCUUCGGAUCGUAAAGCACUGUUGUUAAGGAAGAACGACAGUAAGAGUAACUGUUGACUGUGUGACGGUACUUAACCAGAAAGCCACGGCUAACUACGUG